rnacentral:rRNA from 1 species
UCCGUAGGUGGAUAAUUAAGUCAGAGGUGAAAUCCUGCAGCUCAACUGUAGAAUUGCCUUUGAUACUGGUUAUCUUGAGUCAUUAUGAAGUGGUUAGAAUGUGUAGUGUAGCGGUGAAAUGCAUAGAUAUUACACAGAAUACCGAUUGCGAAGGCAGAUCACUAAUAAUGUACUGACACUGAUGGACGAAAGCGUGGGAGCGAACA